GCCUUCGGGCCUUGGUAGCGCAGCUAACGCGUGAAGUUGACCGCCUGGGGAGUACGGUCGCAAGAUUAAAACUCAAAGGAAUUGACGGGGACCCGCACAAGCGGUGGAUGAUGUGGAUUAAUUCGAUGCAACGCGAAAAACCUUACCUACCCUUGACAUGUCUGGAAUUCCGAAGAGAUUUGGAAGUGCUCGCAAGAGAACCGGAACACAGGUGCUGCAUGGCUGUCGUCAGCUCGUGUCGUGAGAUGUUGGGUUAAGUCCCGCAACGAGCGCAACCCUUGUCAUUAGUUGCUACGAAAGGGCACUCUAAUGAGACUGCCGGUGACAAACCGGAGGAAGGUGGGGAUGACGUCAAGUCCUCAUGGCCCUUAUGGGUAGGGCUUCACACGUCAUACAAUGGUCGGGACAGAGGGUCGCCAACCCGCGAGGGGGAGCCAAUCCCAGAAACCCGAUCGUAGUCCGGAUCGCAGUCUGCAACUCGACUGCGUGAAGUCGGAAUCGCUAGUAAUCGCGGAUCAGCAUGUCGCGGUGAAUACGUUCCCGGGUCUUGUACACACCGCCCGUCACACCAUGGGAGUGGGUUUUACCAGAA
rnacentral:rRNA from 1 species